GACGAACGCUGGCGGCAGGCCUAACACAUGCAAGUCGAACGAGUGGCGGACGGGUGAGUAAUGUAUGGGAAACUGCCUGAUGGAGGGGGAUAACUACUGGAAAAGGUAGCUAAUACCGCAUACCAUCAGAUGUGCCCAGAUGGGAUUAGCUAGUAGGUGGGGUAACGGCUCACCUAGGCGACGAUCCCUAUAUGGUCUGAGAGGAUGACCAGCCACACUGGAACUUAGACACGGCCCAGCCUCCUACGGUAGGCAGCUGUGGGGAAUAUUGCACAAUGGGCGCAAGCCUGAUGCAGCCAUGCCGCGUGUAGUAAGAAGGCCUUCGUGUUGUAAAGUACUUUCAGCGGGGAGGCGUUACCCGCAGAAGAAGCACCGGCUAACUCCGUGCCAGCCGCCGCGGUAAUUC
rnacentral:rRNA from 1 species